rnacentral:rRNA from 1 species
UACGGAGGGUGCGAGCGUUGUUCGGAAUUACUGGGCGUAAAGAGCACGUAGGCUGGUUCGUAAGCCAAUUGUGAAAUCCCGGAGCUCAACUCCGGAAUUGCAGUUGGAACUGCGAAUCUUGAAUGCUUGAGGGGGUGAGGGAAUUCCUGGUGUAGCAGUGAAAUGCGUAGAGAUCAGGAGGAACACCCGAGGCGAAGGCGCUUACCUGGCAAUGCAUUGACGCUGAGGUGCGAAAGCGUGGGUAGCGAAC